rnacentral:snRNA from 1 species
CGGCUUCACUACCCUUUGACA